AAACUUACCAGGUCAAGACAUGGGCGUGAUUGACAGGCUAAUGACUUUUCUCGAUUCCAUGGAUGGUGGUGCAUGGUCGCACUUAGUUGGUGCAGUGAUUUGUCAGGUUUAUUCCGGUAACGAACGAGACCUCGGCCUUGUAAAUAGCUAUGCUGCUUACAGGGACAUUGGCGGCUACGCCAAGGAAGCUCGAGGCAAUUGCAGAUCUGGAAUGCCCUUAGAUGUCCUGGGUCGCACGCGUGCUACAAUGACGCCACGAACGAGCUUGCGUGAUGAAAGUUACGCAUAAUCAGCAGUCGGCGUCUUAAGGGAUAGUCUCUUGUAACUGUGGGACUCCAACUAGGAAUGUCUCGUAAGCACAAGUCAACAUCUUGUGUUGAUUACGUCCCUGCUCUUUGUACACACCGCCCGUCGCUCCUACCGAUCGAGUGUUUAGGUGAAUUUGAUGGACGUAAGGAAGUCAAAUAAACCUGAGCACUAGAGAAGAGAAGUCUACAUGC
rnacentral:rRNA from 1 species